rnacentral:rRNA from 1 species
UUGGAGGGCAAGUCUGGUGCCAGCAGCCGCGGUAAUUCCAGCUCCAAUAGCGUAUAUUAAAGUUGUUGCAGUUAAAAAGCUCGUAGUUGAAUUUCGGGGUCAGUAGGUCGGUCGUGCCACUGGUAUGAACUGGUUUUACUGAUUCCUCCCUCUUGAAGAACUGUAAUGCCAUUAAUUUGGUGUUGCAGGGAAUCAGGACUGUUACUUUGAAAAAAUUAGAGUGUUUAAAGCAGGCUUUAGCUUGAAUACAUUAGCAUGGAAUAAUGAAAUAGGACGUUUGAUCCUAUUUUGUUGGUUUCUAGGAUUGACGUAAUGAUUAAUAGGGAUAGUUGGGGGCAUUAGUAUUCAAUUGUCAGAGGUGAAAUUCUUGGAUUUAUUGAAGACUAACUACUGCGAAAGCAUUUGCCAAGGAUGUUUUCAUUAAUCAAGAACGAAAGUUAGGGGAUCGAAGACGAUCAGAUACCGUCGUAGUCUUAACCAUAAACUAUGCCGACUAGGGAUCGGAUGAUGUUAAUUUUUUAAUGACUCAUUCGGCCCUUACGGAAAC